AUACGGAGGAUGCGAGCGUUAUCCGGAUUUAUUGGGUUUAAAGGGUGCGUAGGCGGCCUUGUAAGUCAGCGGUGAAAUUUUGCAGCUUAACAGUAAAAGUGCCGUUGAUACUGUGAGGCUAGGAUUUGGUUGCUGUGGGUGGAAUGUGUGGUGUAGCGGUGAAAUGCUUAGAGAUCACACAGAAUAUCGAUUGCGAAGGCAGCUCACAAAGCCAAGAUUGACGCUGAGGCACGAAAGUGUGGGGAUCAAACAGGAUUAGAUACCCUGGUAGUCCACACUGUAAACGAUGAUAACUCGCUGUCGGCGAUAUACAGUCGGUGGCCAAGCGAAAGCGAUAAGUUAUCCACCUGGGGAGUACGACCGCAAGGUUGAAACUCAAAGGAAUUGACGGGG
rnacentral:rRNA from 1 species